GGAAGGUUCCCCUCUGCUCCCGCGGGGGGUAGCGCGGCGCGGCCAUGGACGGGUCUGGGGCGCUGCGCCUGCGCAGGCCGCGUCGCUGCGGGUGAGGGCGGGGCGCCCUGUCCUCCGCGCCUGCGCGCUGGGCGUCGUGCGGGAAGGUGGGAGCUCUGUAGCUUCGAGAUACCCGCGAAAGGACAUAAUGUCUAGAUUUUAUCGAGAGGAAAAAAAAAAAAGCGAUAUGGGUACCAGAUCUAAGAGGGAAAAGCGUUUGACUCAAGGGAAGGUAUGCGUGCAUUGAGAACAUUCUUGGGCUUCGGGGACGACGUCAAGCGUCACGAGGCCCUGCGGACCACUGUCCGCCUAAAUAGAUCGUCUCGAGAACCGUGGAGACGGCUUGAAAAUCCUGAAGCCAUGACAUUUCCUAAGUUUUGGAAGAGCCUUUGUUACCGGUGUAACGCUAUGAAUAAAUUGGUACCUGGUGAUCAAUCAGCA